AGAUGGGUCCUCUCUUCGUAGGCUAAUGCAUUGGCCCUUUUUGACCCGUUUUGGGGCGAAAACAAAAACUGACUCCCGGGCAUAUUUUUUUCGGCCUUUAUGGGCAGAGAACUUUAAUACCCGCUCAGAAUGAGGCCACCCAGUAGUUAGGUGUGAAUUUUCGAGACCUUCUGGCACCGUUCUAAGAUGGGUCCUCUCUUCGUAGGCUAAUGCAUUGGCCCUUUUUGACCCGUUUUGGGGCGAAAACAAAAACUGACUCCCGGGCAUAUUUUUUUCGGCCUUUAUGGGCAGAGAACUUUAAUACCGCUCAAAAUGAGGCCACCCAGUAGUUAGGUGUGAAUUUUCGAGACCUCUGGCACCGUUCUAAGAUGGGUCCUCUCUUCGUAGGCUAAUGCAUUGGCCCUUUUUGACCCGUUUUGGGGCGAAAACAAAAACUGACUCCCGGGCAUAUUUUUUUCGGCCUUUAUGGGCAGAGAACUUUAAUACCGCUCAAAAUGAGGCCACCCAGUAGUUAGGUGUGAAUUUUCGAGACCUUUGGCACCGUUCUAAGAUGGGUCCUCUCUUCGUAGGCUAAUGCAUUGGCCCUUUUUGACCCGUUUUGGGGCGAAAACAAAAACUGACUCCCGGGCAUAUUUUUUUCGGCCUUUAUGGGCAGAGAACUUUAAUGCCGCUCAGAAUGAGGCCACCCAGUAGUUAGGUGUGAAUUUUCGAGACCUUUGGCACCGUUCUAAGAUGGGUCCUCUCUUCGUAGGCUAAUGCAUUGGCCCUUUUUGACCCGUUUUGGGGCGAAAACAAAAACUGACUCCCGGGCAUAUUUUUUUCGGCCUUUAUGGGCAGAGAACUUUAAUGCCGCUCAAAAUGAGGCCACCCAGUAGUUAGGUGUGAAUUUUCGAGACCUUUGGCACCGUUCUAAGAUGGGUCCUCUCUUCGUAGGCUAAUGCAUUGGCCCUUUUUGACCCGUUUUGGGGCGAAAACAAAAACUGACUCCCGGGCAUAUUUUUUUCGGCCUUUAUGGGCAGAGAACUUUAAUACCGCUCAAAAUGAGGCCACCCAGUAGUUAGGUGUGAAUUUUCGAGACCUUUGGCACCGUUCUAAGAUGGGUCCUCUCUUCGUAGGCUAAUGCAUUGGCCCUUUUUGACCCGUUUUGGGGCGAAAACAAAAACUGACUCCCGGGCAUAUUUUUUUCGGCCUUUAUGGGCAGAGAACUUUAAUGCCGCUCAAAAUGAGGCCACCCAGUAGUUAGGUGUGAAUUUUCGAGACCUUUGGCACCGUUCUAAGAUGGGUCCUCUCUUCGUAGGCUAAUGCAUUGGCCCUUUUUGACCCGUUUUGGGGCGAAAACAAAAACUGACUCCCGGGCAUAUUUUUUUCGGCCUUUAUGGGCAGAGAACUUUAAUACCCGCUCAGAAUGAGGCCACCCAGUAGUUAGGUGUGAAUUUUCGAGACCUUUGGCACCGUUCUAAGAUGGGUCCUCUCUUCGUAGGCUAAUGCAUUGGCCCUUUUUGACCCGUUUUGGGGCGAAAACAAAAACUGACUCCCGGGCAUAUUUUUUUCGGCCUUUAUGGGCAGAGAACUUUAAUACCGCUCAGAAAUGAGGCCACCCAGUAGUUAGGUGUGAAUUUUCGAGACCUUUGGCACCGUUCUAAGAUGGGUCCUCUCUUCGUAGGCUAAUGCAUUGGCCCUUUUUGACCCGUUUUGGGGCGAAAACAAAAACUGACUCCCGGGCAUAUUUUUUUCGGCCUUUAUGGGCAGAGAACUUUAAUACCGCUCAGAAAUGAGGCCACCCAGUAGUUAGGUGGGAAUUUUCGAGACCUUUGGCACCGUUCUAAGAUGGGUCCUCUCUUCGUAGGCUAAUGCAUUGGCCCUUUUUGACCCGUUUUGGGGCGAAAACAAAAACUGACUCCCGGGCAUAUUUUUUUCGGCCUUUAUGGGCAGAGAACUUUAACACCGCUCAAAAUGAGGCCACCCAGUAGUUAGGUGUGAAUUUUCGAGACCUUUGGCACCGUUCUAAGAUGGGUCCUCUCUUCGUAGGCUAAUGCAUUGGCCCUUUUUGACCCGUUUUGGGGCGAAAACAAAAACUGACUCCCGGGCAUAUUUUUUUCGGCCUUUAUGGGCAGAGAACUUUAAUACCGCUCAAAAUGAGGCCACCCAGUAGUUAGGUGUGAAUUUUCGAGACCUUUGGCACCGUUCUAAGAUGGGUCCUCUCUUCGUAGGCUAAUGCAUUGGCCCUUUUUGACCCGUUUUGGGGCGAAAACAAAAACUGACUCCCGGGCAUAUUUUUUUCGGCCUUUAUGGGCAGAGAACUUUAACACCGCUCAAAAUGAGGCCACCCAGUAGUUAGGUGGGAAUUUUCGAGACCUUUGGCACCGUUCUAAGAUGGGUCCUCUCUUCGUAGGCUAAUGCAUUGGCCCUUUUUGACCCGUUUUGGGGCGAAAACAAAAACUGACUCCCGGGCAUAUUUUUUUUCGGCCUUUAUGGGCAGAGAACUUUAACACCGCUCAAAAUGAGGCCACCCAGUAGUUAGGUGGGAAUUUUCGAGACCUUUGGCACCGUUCUAAGAUGGGUCCUCUCUUCGUAGGCUAAUGCAUUGGCCCUUUUUGACCCGUUUUGGGGCGAAAACAAAAACUGACUCCCGGGCAUAUUUUUC
rnacentral:lncRNA from 1 species